rnacentral:rRNA from 1 species
AUGACUGACAGGCGCAAGAUGCCGUCCGGGCCCGGGUGCGCGCCGUGGGGCCGGGGCGGCGGGGUCCAGUCCAGCGUCGAACGCGGCGGCCGGUUCAGCGUCUUCACGGCGGUCCUCCCGUCGCUGGGCGAGCAUAGCCACAGCUUCAGGCGGCGCAGUGUCCGGCGCUGCGUCGUGUCCCCUUACGACCCCCGCUACCGGCUGUGGGACAACUACAUCGUCUGCCUCGUGCUCUACUCCGCGUGGGUGUCCCCCUUCGAGUUCGGCUUCCUCCAGAACCCCCACGGCGCGCUGGCCAUCGCCGACAACAUCGUCAACGCCUUCUUCGCCAUGGACAUCGUGCUCACCUUCUUCGUCGCCUACACCGACAAGAGGACCUACCUGCUCGUCGACGACCCCGCCAAGAUCGCCUGGCGCUACGCCAGCACCUGGCUCGUCCUGGACGUGGCCUCCACCGUGCCCACCGAGCUCUCCCGCCGGAUCCUCCCUCCCGACCUCCGGACCUACGGCGUCUUCGGCAUGCUCCGCCUCUGGCGGCUCCGGCGCGUCGGCGCCCUCCUGUCCCGCAUGGAGAAGGACCGCAAGUUCAGCUACUUCUGGGUCCGGUGCUCCAAGCUCGUCGCCGUGACGCUCUUCGCCGUGCAUUGCUCCGGGUGCUUCUACUAUCUCCUCGCCGACCGGUACCCGAACCCGGCGGAAACCUGGAUCAGCAUCUCCAUGCCGCAGUUCCACAACGAGAGCAUUUGGAACCGCUACGUGGCGUCCAUGUACUGGUCCAUCACCACCCUCACAACCGUGGGCUACGGCGACAUGCACGCCGUCAACUCGAGGGAGAUGCUCUUCACCACCUUCUACAUGCUCUUCAAUCUCGGCCUCACCGCCUACCUCAUCGGCAACAUGACCAACCUCGUCGUCCACGGCACCAGCCGCACCAGGAAAUACAGGGACAAGAUCCAGGCGGCGACGAGCUUCGCGCAGCGGCACGAGCUGCCGGAGCGGCUGCAGGACCAGAUGAUCUCUCACCUCAGCCUGAAAUUCAGGACGCACUCGGAGGGGCUCCAGCAGCAGGAGACGCUGGACGCGCUGCCCAAAGCCCUUAGGUCCAGCAUCUCGCACCACCUCUUCUUCGGGCUCGUCCAGAACGUCUACCUCUUCCAGGGGGUCUCCAAUGACCUCAUCUUCCAGCUGGUGUCGGAGAUGAGCGCCGAGUACUUUGCGCCGCGGGAAGACGUGAUACUGCAGAACGAAGCGCCCUCGGAUUUCUACAUUAUUGUCACUGGUAGUGUGGAGUUGCUGGAAAUCCAGAAUAAUGGUGCAGAGCAGCUGGCCAGCACGGCCAAGUCCGGCCAAGUCAUCGGCGAGAUCGGAGUCCUGUGCUACAGGCCUCAGCUCUUCACGGCCCGGACAAAGUCCCUGUGCCAGCUCCUGCGCCUGGACCGCGCCGACUUCCUCAAGGUUGUCCAGUCCAACGUUGGGGAUGCCACCAUAAUCAUGAACAACCUCAUCCAGUACCUCAAGGAACACAAGGGUGACGGCGUGAUCUCUGGCAUCGCCAAGGACAUCGAGCGCAUGCUAGCCACGGGCCAGCUUGAUCUGCCAAUCACACUCUGCUUCGCGGCGUCCAGAGGAGACGAUUUUCUGAUGCACCAGCUGCUGAAGCGCGGCCUGGAUCCCAAUGAAACCGAUAACUGCGGCCGUACAGCACUGCAUAUAGCGGCUUCAAACGGGAGUGAGCAGUGCGUUAGGCGCCUGUUGGAGAAUGGUGCGGAUGCGAAUGCCAGAGAUCCAGAAGGAAAGGUGCCGCUGUGGGAGGCCUUGUGCAGGAGGCACCAGACCGUGGUGCAGGUGCUGGUGGAGGCCGGCGCGGACCUGUCGGCGGGGGACGGAGGCAUGUACGCUCGCGUCGCCGUCGAGGAGGACGACGCCGUGCUGUUGGGGGAGAUCGCCCGGUGCGGCGGGGACGUGGCCGCCGCGUGCUCUAGCGACGGGACCACCCCGCUGCACCGCGCCGUCCUGGACGGGAACGCCAGGAUGGUCAGGGUCCUGCUGGAGCACGGCGCUGAUCCUGACAGGGAGGACGCCCGCGGGUUGACGCCGACGGCCUUGGCCGACCGGCACGCCCACGCUGACAUUCAGCAACUGUUCGCGUCGCACCGCCACCGGGACCAGCAGGGAGCGCCGAAGCCCUCGUCGACGGAGGAGGUCGCUGCCGUCGCGCCAGCUGCUCCGCAGGUCACGAGGUUUAGGAGCGCGCCGUCGGCCAGAGUCCUGCCGCCCAGCGGUACCGUCGGGUCGUCGUCGUCGUCGCCGUCGCCGAACCGGGCGGGCCGCCAGUCAAACUCCUCGUCGGCGCGCAGCACGCCGCAGCGGAUGGCCAGCUUCCGGAACUCCCUCUUCGGCGUCAUCUCCUCGUCGUUCCACGGGAACCGACACGACGGCGGCGGCGGUACGAGCUUCCACCAUCGCCACGAGAGGAAUCCGAUCAGCUCGCACGUCAGGGUGACCAUCUCGUGCCCUGAACAGGGACGGAGCCAGAGGAGGCUGCUCGUGUUCGUGCCGGAGACGAUGCUGCAGCUGCUCGAGCUCGGGGGGAACAGAUUCGGGUUCACGGCGACGAGGGUAAUAACGAGCGACGGCGCCGAGAUCGACGACGUGAGACUCGUCAGGGACGGCGACCACCUCCUCCUCGUCUCCGAUCAGUGGGCGCCCGACACUACCAGCGCGCAUAGGAAUCAAUAA